CCCCCCCCCCCCCCCCUUCUCUAUAAUCAAAAUUCAUGAACAAAACUGGAUAUUUUCUCAAGCCAUUUUAUUUUGAAUAUGUCGAUGGAUAUGUACUAGAAACUCGACAUAUGAAAGCCCAUUUUGUGUCUUGUCUUCUACCAUGUGCGAGAGAAAUAACAUGCCUGAUGAAUCUCCCUUUUUGCAUAAUUUUAAGCGGAGAUAGUUACACCUUUGGCGUCUAAUAUCAUUAAUGAUGUCGUUGAGCUUCUUAGAGAGUGGAUUGUCAUACUGCUGCAGGACAAACUGAGCAGGAAUUUCCUCGACAGAUGAAAUGCCUAGCAGCUGACGGAUAACAUUAGGAUCUGCAGAGUUCCCAACAUAUAUCAAACAGUCCUCACCGUUCUCGAGAAGAUAGAUACCAUUGUCAGUAAUGUGUUCACUGGAAAGUGGAAUAGAAGGGGGAAUAAGAGAAUCAUCAUUCUCCUUAGUAUCAAAUUCAUGAAUUGCUAUCAAUCUAGGGUAGACCAGAGGGAUUGCCAAUGGAGUAGAGAGUGGGGAAACAUAAUUUAUCCAGAAGGACCUACUAUCGAUCUGUCCAUCUGCUCUAAGUCCAGUGCUUUUAACCAAAGCCAAUGUGUAAAGAGGAAGAAGUUUAAGUGCCUCAGGAAGGAUAAGUUGCCCUGAGGAUGACACUGUCGCACAGAAUUUACGGUAAGAGUGCAGAAUAUUGAUGCAAAGGUUUGUCACUUGUUCUCUUAUCCGUGAGAGAGGAGCAGUUGGUACUUCACUGGCAGCUUGCUUUAAGAUGCAAGCAAACUGGGUGUCCAAGUCAGCUGAUCGAAAUAGAUUACUCAACAUAGUUGUGCAAGGCAGAGCCAAAGUUGACACUCGGAUUCUUCUUUGGCCAUCAAUGGUAGUGUAAAGAACAGCAGACUGAAAAGAACAUUCUGAACCAUCCUGCAAUUUGUC
rnacentral:misc_RNA from 1 species